rnacentral:rRNA from 1 species
GACGAACGCUGGCGGCGUGCCUAAUACAUGCAAGUUGAGCGAUGAAGAUUGGUGCUUGCACCAAUUUGAAGAGCAGCGAACGGGUGAGUAACGCGUGGGGAAUCUGCCUUUGAGCGGGGGACAACAUUUGGAAACGAAUGCUAAUACCGCAUAAUAACUUUAAACAUAAGUUUUAAGUUUGAAAGAUGCAAUUGCAUCACUCAAAGAUGAUCCCGCGUUGUAUUGGCUAGUUGGUGAGGUAAAGGCUCACCAAGGCGAUGAUACAUAGCCGACCUGAGAGGGUGAUCGGCCACAUUGGGACUGAGACACGGCCCAAACUCCUACGGGAGGCAGCAGUAGGGAAUCUUCGGCAAUGGACGAAAGUCUGACCGAGCAACGCCGCGUGAGUGAAGAAGGUUUUCGGAUCGUAAAACUCUGUUGGUAGAGAAGAACGUUGGUGAGAGUGGAAAGCUCAUCAAGUGACGGUAACUACCCAGAAAGGGACGGCUAACUACGU